rnacentral:rRNA from 1 species
GGGUUGUGAGGUUAAGCGACUAAGCGUACACGGUGGAUGCCCUGGCAGUCAGAGGCGAUGAAGGACGUGCUAAUCUGCGAUAAGCGUCGGUGAGGUGAUAUGAACCGUUAUAACCGGCGAUUUCCGAAUGGGGAAACCCAGUGUGUUUCGACACACUAUCAUUAACUGAAUCCAUAGGUUAAUGAGGCGAACCGGGGGAACUGAAACAUCUAAGUACCCCGAGGAAAAGAAAUCAACCGAGAUUCCCCCAGUAGCGGCGAGCGAACGGGGAGGAGCCCAGAGCCUGAAUCAGUGUGUGUGUUAGUGGAAGCGUCUGGAAAGGCGCGCGAUACAGGGUGACAGCCCCGUACACAAAAAUGCACAUAUUGUGAGCUCGAUGAGUAGGGCGGGACACGUGGUAUCCUGUCUGAAUAUGGGGGGACCAUCCUCCAAGGCUAAAUACUCCUGACUGACCGAUAGUGAACCAGUACCGUGAGGGAAAGGCGAAAAGAACCCCGGCGAGGGGAGUGAAAAAGAACCUGAAACCGUGUACGUACAAGCAGUGGGAGCCUCUUAAUGGGGUGACUGCGUACCUUUUGUAUAAUGGGUCAGCGACUUAUAUUCUGUAGCAAGGUUAACCGAAUAGGGGAGCCGAAGGGAAACCGAGUCUUAACUGGGCGCUAAGUUGCAGGGUAUAGACCCGAAACCCGGUGAUCUAGCCAUGGGCAGGUUGAAGGUUGGGUAACACUAACUGGAGGACCGAACCGACUAAUGUUGAAAAAUUAGCGGAUGACUUGUGGCUGGGGGUGAAAGGCCAAUCAAACCGGGAGAUAGCUGGUUCUCCCCGAAAGCUAUUUAGGUAGCGCCUCGUGAAUUCAUCUCCGGGGGUAGAGCACUGUUUCGGCAAGGGGGUCAUCCCGACUUACCAACCCGAUGCAAACUGCGAAUACCGGAGAAUGUUAUCACGGGAGACACACGGCGGGUGCUAACGUCCGUCGUGAAGAGGGAAACAACCCAGACCGCCAGCUAAGGUCCCAAAGUCAUGGUUAAGUGGGAAACGAUGUGGGAAGGCCCAGACAGCCAGGAUGUUGGCUUAGAAGCAGCCAUCAUUUAAAGAAAGCGUAAUAGCUCACUGGUCGAGUCGGCCUGCGCGGAAGAUGUAACGGGGCUAAACCAUGCACCGAAGCUGCGGCAGCGACACUAUGUGUUGUUGGGUAGGGGAGCGUUCUGUAAGCCUGUGAAGGUGGCCUGUGAGGGUUGCUGGAGGUAUCAGAAGUGCGAAUGCUGACAUAAGUAACGAUAAAGCGGGUGAAAAGCCCGCUCGCCGGAAGACCAAGGGUUCCUGUCCAACGUUAAUCGGGGCAGGGUGAGUCGACCCCUAAGGCGAGGCCGAAAGGCGUAGUCGAUGGGAAACAGGUUAAUAUUCCUGUACUUGGUGUUACUGCGAAGGGGGGACGGAGAAGGCUAUGUUGGCCGGGCGACGGUUGUCCCGGUUUAAGCGUGUAGGCUGGUUUUCCAGGCAAAUCCGGAAAACCAAGGCUGAGGCGUGAUGACGAGGCACUACGGUGCUGAAGCGACAAAUGCCCUGCUUCCAGGAAAAGCCUCUAAGCAUCAGGUAACAUCAAAUCGUACCCCAAACCGACACAGGUGGUCAGGUAGAGAAUACCAAGGCGCUUGAGAGAACUCGGGUGAAGGAACUAGGCAAAAUGGUGCCGUAACUUCGGGAGAAGGCACGCUGAUAUGUAGGUGAAGCGACUUGCUCGUGGAGCUGAAAUCAGUCGAAGAUACCAGCUGGCUGCAACUGUUUAUUAAAAACACAGCACUGUGCAAACACGAAAGUGGACGUAUACGGUGUGACGCCUGCCCGGUGCCGGAAGGUUAAUUGAUGGGGUUAGCGGUAACGCGAAGCUCUUGAUCGAAGCCCCGGUAAACGGCGGCCGUAACUAUAACGGUCCUAAGGUAGCGAAAUUCCUUGUCGGGUAAGUUCCGACCUGCACGAAUGGCGUAAUGAUGGCCAGGCUGUCUCCACCCGAGACUCAGUGAAAUUGAACUCGCUGUGAAGAUGCAGUGUACCCGCGGCAAGACGGAAAGACCCCGUGAACCUUUACUAUAGCUUGACACUGAACAUUGAGCCUUGAUGUGUAGGAUAGGUGGGAGGCUUUGAAGUGUGGACGCCAGUCUGCAUGGAGCCGACCUUGAAAUACCACCCUUUAAUGUUUGAUGUUCUAACGUUGGCCCCUAAUCGGGGUUGCGGACAGUGUCUGGUGGGUAGUUUGACUGGGGCGGUCUCCUCCUAAAGAGUAACGGAGGAGCACGAAGGUUGGCUAAUCCUGGUCGGACAUCAGGAGGUUAGUGCAAUGGCAUAAGCCAGCUUGACUGCGAGCGUGACGGCGCGAGCAGGUGCGAAAGCAGGUCAUAGUGAUCCGGUGGUUCUGAAUGGAAGGGCCAUCGCUCAACGGAUAAAAGGUACUCCGGGGAUAACAGGCUGAUACCGCCCAAGAGUUCAUAUCGACGGCGGUGUUUGGCACCUCGAUGUCGGCUCAUCACAUCCUGGGGCUGAAGUAGGUCCCAAGGGUAUGGCUGUUCGCCAUUUAAAGUGGUACGCGAGCUGGGUUUAGAACGUCGUGAGACAGUUCGGUCCCUAUCUGCCGUGGGCGCUGGAGAACUGAGGGGGGCUGCUCCUAGUACGAGAGGACCGGAGUGGACGCAUCACUGGUGUUCGGGUUGUCAUGCCAAUGGCACUGCCCGGUAGCUAAAUGCGGAAGAGAUAAGUGCUGAAAGCAUCUAAGCACGAAACUUGCCCCGAGAUGAGUUCUCCCUGAGACUUAGAGUCUCCUGAAGGAACGUUGAAGACGACGACGUUGAUAGGCCGGGUGUGUAAGCGCAGCGAUGCGUUGAGCUAACCGGUACUAAUGAACCGUGAGGCUUAACCUUACAACGCCGAAG